CCUACGGGAGGCAGCAGUAAGGAAUAUUGGUCAAUGGACGAAAGUCUGAACCAGCCAUGCCGCGUGAAGGAUGAAGGCCCUCUGGGUUGUAAACUUCUUUUAUCUGGGACGAAAAAAGCUCAUUCUUGAGCACUUGACGGUACCAGAGGAAUAAGCACCGGCUAACUCCGUGCCAGCAGCCGCGGUAAUACGGAGGGUGCAAGCGUUAUCCGGAUUCACUGGGUUUAAAGGGUGCGUAGGUGGGUCUGUAAGUCAGUGGUGAAAUCUCCGAGCUUAACUCGGAAACUGCCAUUGAUACUAUAGGUCUUGAAUCAUCUGGAGGUAAGCGGAAUAUGUCAUGUAGCGGUGAAAUGCUUAGAUAUGACAUAGAACACCAAUUGCGAAGGCAGCUUACUACGGGUGUAUUGACACUGAGGCACGAAAGCUUGGGGGAGUACAACAGAGUAGUAUACCUACGUAGUACCGACCGACCCGUAACCGUACGUAGGAGUACUACG
rnacentral:rRNA from 1 species